rnacentral:rRNA from 1 species
GAUGAACGCUGGCGGCGUGCCUAAUACAUGCAAGUCGAGCGAACAGACGAGGAGCUUGCUCCUCUGACGUUAGCGGCGGACGGGUGAGUAACACGUGGAUAACCUACCUAUAAGACUGGGAUAACUUCGGGAAACCGGAGCUAAUACCGGAUAAUAUAUUGAACCGCAUGGUUCAAUAGUGAAAGACGGUUUUGCUGUCACUUAUAGAUGGAUCCGCGCCGCAUUAGCUAGUUGGUAAGGUAACGGCUUACCAAGGCGACGAUGCGUAGCCGACCUGAGAGGGUGGUCGGCCACACUGGAACUGAGACACGGUCCAGACUCCUACGGGAGGCAGCAGUAGGGAAUCUUCCGCAAUGGGCGAAAGCCUGACGGAGCAACGCCGCGUGAGCGAUGAAGGUCUUCGGAUCGUAAAACUCUGUUAUUAGGGAAGAACAAAUGUGUAAGUAACUAUGCACGUCUUGACGGUACCUAAUCAGAAAGCCACGGCUAACUACGUG